rnacentral:rRNA from 1 species
CUUGCCUGAGUUGGUAGGGAAUUCCUCUUUACCGAAAGUUCGGGAUCUAACGCCCAGUCGAUUGGGGUUAUGUGGGUAAUUAAUUAAACUUGGCGUUAGCAGUGAGAAGUAAGUCGUCCGGGCUUAUAGCUGUGUCCUGAGGGCAGAUCUUCGAUUUAACUUACAGGUGAAGAGAUUUGUAAGUAUACUAUACGCUGGCUUUCGUCUAUGUUAAGUUGGGGUUGAGGCUACCCCCAUUUUAAGAGUGUGUCACUACUCUUGAAUUACUUAGUUGUCGUUAGUGGGGUUACUCGGGGUUACGGUAAUCGUUUAUGGUGAUUUAUGUGCUAAUAAGUAAUUAUAUCGGGUUCUAUUUUUCUAGUCCCCCCACCGACUGUUUAUUAAAAACAUUUUUCUCUGGUGCUUUCGAGGAUACGGCCUGCCCGGUGCUUUUGUAAACGGCCGCAGUAUUAUGACUGUGCAAAGGUAGCAUAAUUAAUUGCCUUAUAAUUGGGGGCUUGUUUGAACGGCUAAACGUGUGGGGUGUGAUAAAUGGGCCCCAUUAUUGAAGUUAAUAAUACGGGUGCGAAAUCCGUGACGGUUAAUAAGACGGAAAGACCCCGGGAUCUUUAUUUUUUGAUUGGGGCCACCCCCGUUAUUUUAACGGGUUUUAGACCCGCUGAUUAAAGGUUUAAGUUACCCCGGGGAUAACAGAGUAAUAGUUUAGUAGAGUUCAUAUCGAUUAAACUGUUUGCUACCUCGAUGUUGACUUGGUUUUCGCCAACGGCGCAGCAGUCGCUGGUUGGGGGUCUGUUCGACCCGUU